AGUACUUCAAAUAUAGAAUUUGUUGUCAUCUACGCUCCACAAAGCAAUUAUCUUCCCAUAAUUUCUCCCCCAAAUCAUACUGUUGAGGGGUGAGAAUAGCUACUUUGCUGGUGUUUGUACAUUUCAUACUGCUCUUCUACAUAGAUCAUCUGUUGGUUAAAUGAGCUACAUAACCCUCAUUGGAAGUCAAUUUAUGAAUCAGGCUGCUCUGCUGCAUGCAUACGUGGAAAUUAUUCAAGCUUUUACCUGUAGGAAAUUGCAUUAGUAUAUAAGUUUCUUCAGUAGCCAACAUCAGUAGGAUCUCUCAAAUGCAAUUUAUAAAUUCUGUUGGGCUAAAUACUUCUGUUAUAUACUUCUGGAAACUAAGAUUAGGUUUGAGGAGUAUGUGCCUAAACUUUGUCAGCUAUCAUAUGGCUAUUCAGUUGCUCAACAUAAAUUAUUCAUCUCAAUAUUCAGGUGCAUGUGAUUUCACCAUCACUAGAAUUGGGAUCUUAAUUAAUGCUUUGCACUAUCUGUUGUUCAGUUUUACCUUUGUGUCUUACGUGAAAAUGUUGUGUGUGUUCACGGCUGACAACUUAUUUUAUUUUCGCAACAGAAAGCAAGGUUUUAAACGAUUGUACACCUUGAAGGGGGGUGUUUCUCAUUAUCUUGAGAGAGAAGGUUCUGUAGGUUGGGUUGGAAAUCUAUUUGUAUUUGAUGCCCGUCUUUCUCUGCCGCCUUCUACUUACAAGCCUGAAGUGGGGAUCGAAGCAAGCACAAAGCUAAAAGGCUCCCUGGAUAACUCGUUUGCCAAAUGCUACAUCUGUGGUUCACAAGUCUGUGAGCUGAGGCACCGCAAUUGUGCAAACCUUGACUGCAACUUACUUUUCCUGUAAGACUAACCAUUCCACCAAAUAAACAUAUGGAUGGAUGCUACUUUAAUCACUUAUAUUUGCACCAUCAAGCCUGUGGAGUUGGUAUAUGAUUUGUUUUACUUCCAAAAUUCAGCUAACGAGAGACAUUUUGGGCGAAAGACUUCCAUGACUUAGCUUACCUAUUUGUAUCAACUUUCCUCCAAGUAAGUAGGAGAAAGAAGUUGAUGUCUCUAGCCAAGGAUCCUUAAGAUAAAACUUUUUCUUAAGUGCUUUCCUCCAAAACGGUAGAAGAAAGAACUUUUUUCUCUAGGCAAGGAUUCAUCAGUUUAAAACUUGUCUUACUUUUCUAUCUCCAGCGAAACGAAGGCUGCUCUUAUAUUACUCUGUGGUUUGUAUCAGUUAUAUAAACACUAAACAGUAGAUUGAAAGAAAGUGUGUACUUAUAUUCGUUCUAAUACUUCAUUGGUUUUGUUCAGAUGCUGCGCAGGCUGCGUGAAAGAUCUAAGGGGAUGCUGCUGUUCUCAAUGCACAUCUGCACGUCGACUUAGGCCGGUGCUGACAGGUAACCAGAGAUACCAAAAAUGGCAUAAUUAUCGAGAUUUCGAGUUGCAAAGCCGGUGACAUCUUGAUCUGUUGGAAGUUGAAAAUGUAGAUCUCCAAUUAUUGGGGAGACCGAAUGGAAAAUUAAGAGAGAAAACUGACCUCUAUUCUCUACAUACUCCAAAAUUCAGGUUCCAAAAAGACUAGUUUCUCUUUUAUUGGUUUAGUCUAAUUUUAUUUAAUGCGGGAGGAAUGUCCAUCAGUCACAAAAUUAGGUUGUUAAGUACCCCUAUUAGGUGAAAAUAUUAGGCAUAUAUAAUCUUGGAAGAACGUUGUCUUUUACUGAUAAUUAGAUAUUAUUGAAGGCUGAAUUUAAUUGGGAAGUAUCACUUUGUGUACUUAGGUUAUUAGUAUUUUUUAAGACAUAAUCAAACAUCCAUAUGCUGAUUUUGUAUACGAUUAAAAUCGGGCCUACCCGAUUUUACUAUUUGACCGAGACCGGGAGUUUGCAUUGGAGGAUGGCCUCGUAACGGAAUAGGCCAUAUCACGAGGAUAAGGUACCGAGUUUAGAACCGAGGUACCUGUCAAGAUCGAGGCUAGUAGCGAUCGAAGCCAAACAAAACAGACAUCGAGCAAGAUCGAAGAUAGCACAAUAACAGAAAGGCGAGAUAUCCGUGACUGGUCGAGGAUUAUGGCGUAAAUCUCGGUGACUGGUCAAGGAUCAUGGCGUAAAUCUCAGAACGGAUCAAAUCAGAAACGGUUAAUUUGCUAAUCAUGGGAUUUUCUUCUGUAAUUAGAGUUAUACCAUAAGUGGAACUGCUCUACUAUAUAAAGGGGAGUAUUAACCAUUUGUAAGACAUGGUUCUCACGUAAAAAAGCUAAUAUAACGCUCUCUUUAGCUUAUACUUUCUUGUUCAUCAACUUGCUUUAUUUUUAACUAUUUUGGUAUCAAUCAGUUCGAGGGCACCCUAGCUCGAGGGUUGAAUUUCGUUUCAAUACUGGUUCGCUUUAUUUUAUAAUUCAUUUCUGUUAUUAAUCUUCAUAUUUGUCUAUAGGUAUUAAGUGAAAUCGCGUAUCCUUAGAAUCUCAUUAUAAGUUUAAUUGUUAUUCAAUUUUAAGGGUAAACAGUUUGGCGCCUACCGUGGGGCUAAGGAUAAUAGUGAUUGCUUAAUACUAAUUUCGAUAACACACACUACUUUACACUUGUUCUCGUAAGAAUCUUUGUUUUCAGGAUAAAUAUGUCAAACUCGCAAGCAGAACCUACACAUGGUGACAACAACCUCGGAUUUCAUGGGAAAAACGACAACAUAACCGCCCCAGGAAUCGAGGUGCCUCAGGCCGACCUCGAGGGAGCACCAAUUGCAAAUCCCGUCGAUGUCAGUUCACAUGUCGCCCUAAAUGCAAAUUUGGGCGUUGAGCCCGAAGGUAGUAUACGCAGGGAAGUUCGAUCAGGUGGUCGAGGUACGCAGGGCGGAGAAGAUGGUGGAGUUAGUCUCCAAUUGAUAUUCGAAUUGUUACAAGCUCAACAAGCCGAUAUAGCACAACUACAAAAUCAGCACCGAACACCGAGUAGGUUCGAACCAGAAGUCGUUCGCAGGACUGGGCCUGUGCCAGAAAGGUCGAAUGCCAACGAAUCGGGGACUGACCCCGCCAUUAUGAAAAUGUUCGAGGAGCUCACUAAACGGAUUGAAUCGGGAGAAAAAAUAUUGAGGCAAAUGACAAGAAAAUGGAGACAUACAACUUCCGGGUUGACCAAAUACCAGGGGCACCACCGAUUCUAAAAGGUAUGGAUUCAAAGAAAUUUGUACAGAAGUCCUUCCCAUCAAGUGCGGCACCGAAACUCAUUCCGAAGAAGUUCCGAAUGCCAGAAAUUCCUAAGUACAAUUGGAUCACCGACCCUAAUGAACAUGUCACUUCUUAUACAUGCGCAAUAAAGGGAAAUGACUUAGAAGACGAUGAGAUUGAAUCUGCUCUACUGAAGAAAUUUGGAGAAACCUUGUCGAAAGGAGCAAUGAUAUGGUACCACAAUUUGCCGCCUAGUUCCAUCGAUUCAUUCGCCAUGCUUGCAGACUCCUUCGUAAAGGCACAUGCCGGAGCAAUAAAGGUUGCGAUUAGAAAAUCGGACCUCUUCAAGGUGAAACAAAAAGACAAUGAAAUGUUGAGGGAAUUCGUAUCUCGGUUUCAGAUGGAACACAUGGAACUACCACCGGUCACAGACGAUUGGGCUGUUUAUGCCUUUACUCAAGGUUUGAACGAACGAAGUUCGGUGGCAUCACGACAACUAAAGCAAAAUUUAAUUGAAUAUUCAGCGAAAACCUGGGCCGAUGUACAUAAUCGGUACCAGUCGAAGAUCAGGGUCGAGGAUGAUCAAUUGGGGACCCCUUCCGAUUCCGCUUAUCCAAAUAGGCCCGUUGGUAGAACUCAAAGGGAUAUCGAUAGAGAACCCCGGUCGAGCAGAGAUCGGUAUCUAUCAUACAACGCAGUUCGUAGAAACAACGGCCCAGGACGCAAUCCCAUCCGAAAUGAUCGAAGGAACGAUCGAAGACCGAGCUCUCGAGGGCUCAUGAGCAAAAGUGGCUUCGAUAAACAUGCCAAUCCCACAGAAGCACCACGAUUGUCAGAAUGCAACUUCAGCAUCGACGCAUCAGGUAUUGUGUCAGCCAUAAUCAAAGAUACUAGAUGGCUCAAACCCCUACAAAUCGAUCCAUCCCAAAGGAACCCCAAUCAAACAUGCAAAUACCAUGGUACACAUGGUCAUAAAACCGAAGACUGCAGACAACUAAGGGAGGAGGUGACCCGUUUAUUCAACGAGGGUCACCUUCGAGAAUUCUUGAGCGACCGAACUAAAAACCAUUUCAGAGACAGAGACGCAAACAGGAAAAACAAGUAGGAAGAACCACAACACGUGAUUCACAUGAUCAUUGGUGGGGUCGAUAUUCCACAAGGACCCGUGUUCAAACCCACUAAAGUAUCAAUCACCAGAGAAAAACGAACUCGAGACUAUGUGCCAGAAAGCGCUUUAUCAUUCAAUGAUGAGGAAGCAGAAGGGAUCUCACAACCCCACAAUGAUGCUUUGGUAAUCUAUAUCCUUAUGAAUAAAAUUCAGGUUAAACGUGUUUUAAUUGAUCCAGGAAGCUCGGCCAAUAUUAUUCGAUCGAGGGUCGUGGAGCAGCUCGGCCUAUAAGAUCAGAUCGUACCCGCAACUCGGAUUCUCAAUGACUUUAACAUGGCAAGCGAAACAACUAAAGGUGAAAUCAUCCUACCAGUAAAUGUAGCCGGAAUUAUUCAAGAAACAAAGUUCCAUGUGAUCGAAGGCGAUAUGAGAUACAACGCACUGCUCUGAAGACCCUGGAUUCACAAUAUGAGGGUGGUCCCCUCAACCCUUCACCAAAUGCUGAAGUUCCCAACACCGGAUGGAGUAAAAACAGUGUAUGGGGAACAACAUGCUGCCAAAGAGAUGUUCGCGGUCGACGAAGUGAUACCGAUAUCGUCGCUUUCGUCAACAAAAGGAUCGGAGUCCAAAGGAAAACAAGAAGCUAAAUAGCAACCACAGCUACCAGCCUCGACUCAAUCGGAGAAGCAGGGAACGGACGAUGACGAUGACGAUGACUAUUGGAUCCCUCGAUCCUUCAUAAUCCUCGAGGAUUCCGACGCCACCAAAUCGACGGUCGAGGAGCUAGAACAAGUUGUACUGAUCGAGCAUCUACCCGAUCGAAAUGUAUACCUGGGUACAGAGUUAACCCCCGAGCUCAGGAGAAAACUUAUCAAUUUUCUUAUAAAUAAUAUGGAUUGUUUUGCUUAGUCCCAUUUAGAUAUGACAGGGAUCCCGCCGAAAAUCGCUACAAAUCUACUAAGCUUGGACCCGAAGUUCCGCCCGGUAAAACAAAAGAGAAGACCCCAGUUCGAGGUAAAACAUGCAUUCAUCAAGAACGAGGUAACCGAACUUCUCAAAAUAAGAUCCAUUCGCGAGGUAAAAUAUCCCGAAUGGUUAGCAAACGUAGUUGUAGUCCCUAAAAAGGGAAAUAAACUUAGAAUGUGCGUAGACUAUAAAGAUUUAAACAAAGCAUGUCGUAAAGACUCUUUUCCUCUGCUGAAUAUCGAUCGCAUGAUCGAUGCCAAGGCCGGCCACGAGAUCCUUAGUUUUCUCGAUGCCUACUCCGGGUACAAUCAAAUACAAAUGAACCCGGAGGAUCAGGAAAAGACUUCGUUCAUCACUAAGUAUGGCACCUAUUGUUAUAAUGUAAUGCCGUUUGGACUAAAAAAUGCUGGUGCCACUUAUCAACGCUUAAUAAAUCGAAUGUUCGAAGAACAAAUAGGUAAGUCAAUGGAAGUUUAUAUUGACAAUAUGCUAGUUAAGUCCCUGCGAGCAGAGGACCAUUUGACACAUUUGUAGGAGACCUUCGAUAUACUAAGGGAAUACAACAUGAAACUCAACCCGGAGAAAUGUGCAUUAGGGGUCGGCUCAGGAAAAUUCCUCGGCUUUAUGGUAUCAAAUCGGGGUAUCGAAAUCAAUCCCGAUAAGAUCAAGGCAAUCGAGGACAUCACAGUCGUGGAUAAUGCUAAGGCCGUACAAAGAUUAACAGGGCGCAUAGCCGCCCUAGGGCGAUUCAUCUCGAGGUCUUCAGAUAGAAGUCACAGGUUCUUCUCACUGCUCAAAAAGAACAACAAUUUUGCAUGGACCCCGGAAUGCCAACAAGCAUUGGAAGAACUAAAGCAGUACCUCUCGAGCCCGCCACUGCUUCAUACUCCGAAAGCGGACGAGCAACUAUACUUGUACUUAGCAGUCUCGGAAAUCGCGAUAAGUGGUAUCCUAGUUCGAGAAGAGCAAGGUACGCAAUUUCCUGUUUAUUAUGUUAGUCGAACUCUAGGCGAGGUUGAGACCCGGUACCCAUACUUAGAAAAAUUAGCACUUGCCCUAAUAAGCGCCUCUAGGAAAUUAAAACCAUAUUUACAGAGUCACCCGAUCGGCGUGGUGACUACUUAUCCUCUUCGCAAUAUUUUGCAUAAGCCCGAACUUUCGGGCCGAUUGGCCAAAUGGGUCGUCGAGAUCAGUGGGUACGAUAUCGAGUAUCGACCCCGAACGACCAUCAAGUCUCAAAGCUUAGCGGACUUCGUGGCCGACUUUACGCCAACCCUCGUACCCGAGGUUGAAAAGGAACUAUUAAUAAAGUCGGGUACAUCAUCGGGGGUGUGGACCCUCUUCACAGAUGGUGCUUCAAACGUGAAGGGGUCCGAGUUAGGCAUCGUUUUGAAGCCACCCACGGGUAAUACAGUUAUACAAGCUAUCAAAACUGCCAAGUUAACUAACAAUGAAGCCGAGUAUGAGGCCAUGAUUGCAGGUCUCGAGCUAGCUAAAGGUUUGGGAGCAGAAGUCAUCGAGGCAAAAUGUGACUCCUUGCUUGUGGUAAACCAAGUCAAUAGAACCUUCGAGGUUCGAGAAGAUUGAAUGCAGAGAUACUUGGACAAACUACAGGUGAAUCUACAUCGGUUUAAAGAAUGGACUCUACAUCAUGUGCCUCAAGAACAAAACAGCGGGGCCGAUGCCCUCGCAAAUUUGUGGUCAUCAGUCGAAGACGACGAGAUCAGCUCGGGGACUGUCGUAUAACUUUCAAGGUUAGUAAUCGUAGAAGGCUACACCGAAAUCAACUCCACAAGCCUGACCUGGGAUUGGAGGAACAAAUAUAUCGAAUACCUAAAAAACGGGAAGCUUCCAUCGGACCCUAGGGAAUCGAGGACUCUACGUACGAAGGCCACACGAUUCACAUUGGCCGAAGACGGAACACUGUAUAGAAGGAUGUUCGAUGGACCAUUGGCAAUAUGUUUGGGACCGGGAGAUAUCGACUACGUCCUACGAGAAAUCCACGAGGGCACUUGUGAAAAUCAUUCCGGUGCCGAAUCAUUGGUUCACAAAGUCAUCAGAGCAGGAUACUAUUGGGCCGAUAUGGAAAAAGAUACAAAAGAGUUUGUUCGAAAGUGCGACAAAUGUCAAAGGUAUGCGCCGAUGAUUCACCAACCCGGAGAGCAACUCCACUCAGUCUUAUCCCCAUGGCCAUUCAUGAAGUGGGGAAUGGAUAUCGUCGGCCCUCUGCCAUCGGCCCCGGGUAAAGCUAAAAUUAUUUUGUUUAUGACUGACUAUUUCUCUCUAUGGGUUGAAGCGCAGGCUUACGAGAAAAUUAGAGAGAAAGAAGUCAUAGACUUCAUCUGGGACUACAUUAUAUGUCGAUUCGGGAUGCCUGCCGAGAUCGUAUGCGAUAAUGAAAAGCAGUUCGUCGGCAGCAAAGUGACAAAAUUUCUCGAAGAUCACAAAAUAAAAAGAAUCCUGUCGACGCCUUAUCAUCCUAGUGGGAACGGCAGGCCGAAUCAACAAACAAAACCAUCAUUCAAAAUCUAAAGAAAAGAUUGAACGAUGCUAAGGGAAAAUGGAGAGAAAAUAUUGCCCGAAGUCCUUUGGGAGUAUCGAACGACGUGAAAAUCCAGUACGGGGGCAACGCCGUUUUCUUUAGUAUACGGCGCCGAAGCUCUGAUCGCGGUUGAAGUCGGGGAACCCAGCGUCAGGUUUCGAUAUGCAACGGAAGAUUCAAAUCACGAGGCUAUGAAUACAAGCCUCGAAUUGCUAGAUGAAAAAUGGAAAGCCGCCCCCUUUCGAAUGGCCGCACAGAAACAACGGAUCGAAAGGUAGUACAAUCGAAGAACCAAUCUUCGACACUUCAAAAUCGGGGACUUGGUUCUGAGAAAGGUCACCCUCAAUACUCGAGACCCAAAUGAAGGAAAACUUGGUCCGAACUGGGAGGGACCGUAUCAGGUACUCGGCAUCGUCGAAAAAGGAUCCUACAAACUUGGCACUAUGAACGGCGAAUAAUUACCAAACAAUUGGAACAUAUCACUCCUCAAACGAUAUUACUGCUAAGGUAUGACCUUCUCCAUUUUCGUUUAUAUUUUAUACUAGCCAUUUGCAGAUGUUUGAUCGAAGACAUCAGAGGAUUCUUCAAGCACAAAGUCCUUAGGUCUGAAAGCACGCGUUGCACUCUUUUUCCCUUAAACCGGUUUUUGUCCCAAAUGGGUUUUUCCGGCGAGGUGUUUAACGAGGAAACCAUUGUUCAUGCUAACUUAGAGCAAUUCAACAGUAUUCGAGGCUCCUUUACAAUCAACCUCGAAUACUGGGGGGCAACACCUUCGGAUACUUACAAGGAAAAUACUUCGUGUCGAUAGGGUCUCGAUAGGUAAAUUUUGUAGAGGACCAAACGGUCAAAUGAACCGUGUCCAUGUAGAUUACUCGAACUCUAAUGGCAAAACACGUACGCAUAUAUAAUCUAUUGAAAGAAGUAUUUUUCCUUACCAGAUGUUCCAUGCUUAAGAAAAAUUUAUACUUUACAAUUUCAUACUUAUGAUCUAUUGUGGAAACUAGCUUAAGGGCCGAUCACAACUGAAGUUCAAACAAUUUACCCGAUACUCAGGGACUGCCGUCCAAAAAAUCGACAUGAACGAAUUACUAAACCUCGAAAUCGUAAGACCUUAAAAAGGCAAUCCUCGAUUUUAUAGGCCACGGCCACCCCACUCGGGGACUGAUACUUCGAACAAGUUCGAAGUAUAACAGGGGGACAAGCCCAAAAGGAAAAUUCCAAGUUAAAGGCUACGGCCAAAUUAACACGGUUCAGAGACGUCUGAUUCCUUUUAUUAAACAGGCCUUCGAAUAUUUUUACAAACCGGUUAAAAAGGCUACCCUCGGCCAUAUUUCUAAGGGUCUCGAUAAUAUCGAGCCUCGAAAACCCUAAUGGGUACAAAGUCGUUCGAACUCUCGAACAAAUUCUUUAUUUUAUGCUAAGGCAUUACGAAACAAAAGGUCUCGAUAAUAUCGAUCCUUGAAAAUCCUAAUGGGUACGGAACCAUUCGAACUCUCGAGCAAACCCUUUAUUUCGUGCUAAGGCACAACAGAAUUUAUAUGAUUAAACAAUAAACUUUUCAAGCCGAAAAGGGGGAGAAAGCCAUUCUUUUUGCUAUGACCGUAUCGGCCUAAUUCAAGAGCCUAAAGGGCCUGUUUAUUUUUGAGAAACUAUCCUCACUCAAUUAAAACCUAAGGGUCACCCUUCUACGAGUUCGAGCAAGUACUCACUCGAUUAUAAAAACUACACUAGUUCGGCUUCGAUCAAAUUGCCUAAGCCUCGAACUUAUGAACAAAAUUUUCAUAAGGCAUAAACAAAACAAAAUUUUCACAAGGCAUAAAUGAAAUAAAGACAAGUCGGAAAGGAAAGAGAUCUUUAUAUAUAUGAGAAUAUUUAUAAGAUCCGAUCAGGAUCCUAUACAAAAGAUCAAAAGUGAAAAAUCCUAAGGUUCCUGAUCUUCUCCGGGGACAACUUCUUCUCCAUCGAGGUCCUCCCCAUUCUCGGACCCGCUCUUGCUGCCAUCAUCAUCAUCAUCAUCGGAAGUGGCCAACGCUCCAGCUUCGGCUUCAUGCUCUCUAGCCUUUACUAUCUCGUCGGUAAGAUCGAAACCUCGAACGUGGAUCUCCUCGAGGGUUUCCCUCCGAGAUUGACAUUUGGCGAGUUCGGCAAUCCAAUAUGCUCGAGUUUGAGUGGUCUCGUAUGCCUCUCUCGCUUGGACUUGAGCGGCUUCAGCAUCGGCCCGAUAGACGGCCACGAUCGCAUCUGCCCCGGCCUUUGCCUUUUCAGCUUCAGAUUUGGCCUUGGCAAGUUCGGAAGCCAACCGAGCCUCGAGCUCCUCUAUUUUCCUUGCUUGAGCCGAGCUCUUCUCCCUCAUGCCUCGAAGCUGACUUUCGGCCGAUGACAAUUUGGAUAAAGUAGUCUCUUUUUCUGUAGCGAAGCGGUCCAUGCCUUCUUUCCACCCCAAGGUCUCCGCCUUCAUCAUAUUGACCUCCUCGCGGAGCUGCUCGAUCCUCUCGACCUUCUGCUGCAGCUGUGAGAUUGAAAUAUUAGCCACCAUUCCCGAAUCGAGCCCAUGGGCUUUUAAGAUUUUCAUUACCUACUCGAUCAGGUCGGUCUGAUCUUAGUGAGCCUUGGCCAACUCGGCUCGGAGGUCCUUGGUCUCCUAUUCUUUUUUCCCAUAGAGAAGUUUAAGGGCAUUCCUCUCCUCCGUGAGUCCUCGGAGGUCGGCCUCACAUCGACUCAGCUUAGCUCGAGACCGAGAAAAUGCUUCCCGGUGAAGCGCCGAGGCCUACGCAGAAAGAAGAAAAGAAGUUAGACAGGAAGAGAAAAAUGAACACAAGUGUAACACCAUUAAGGGGAGUUAAGGCUUACCUGAUUCAGAGCUUGCUGCACUUCAUUGAAAAGGCUCGAUGCCUCGCCCGAGUCCUUCCUCGAGACCUCCAAGUCACUCAGACCGGUAAAGUAAUCACGGAAGGGGUUCUCCUUUCUGUGGGCUCCUUCGAUGGAGAGGGUCUUCAAGGCCCGAGCCUCUUGAAUCAUCUCCUCAGAAAACGAGGGGAGCAGCGGGGAGCCUCCAAUUUCUAUUGCCCCAAGUGAAUCACUUGGGGCGUUCUCCUUAUCUCGAGGGGCCUCGACAGCCGUACCCACCGUUGGCUCAGUGUGGUGGGAGGCAUCUUCGAUCCUCGAUGACUCGGGGACUUCGCCCAAGUCUCUUCCCGAGUCCCCCUCAUCUCGAGACGGAGUCUCUGCAGCCUUCACCGAUUCAUUGGCCUUUGGAACCUCGGUGCUCAUUCCCACUCGGGCCAUCAGCCUGGAGUCGUCAUCUUCCACUUCUUCAUCUUCCUCCCUUAGACACCGAACAAACUCUUCGGUUAGGAGGAUGAUGUUCUUCUUCGGCUUACGAGCCGCCUUCUUCUUAGGUUCUGGAUCCUCGGAGGGUGAGGACUUUUUCCUCUUUUUGUCCUUCGCCGGUUUCGGUGCCGGGAUCGAAAUCUCCGCCUCACCAGAUAGGGCCCCUCAUAACUGCAUCUUUGCCAAGGCCUGUAUGAAAAGGGAAUUAAGUAAGAAAUGCUUUAUUAAAAUCAUUAAAGACGUGGAAAAGGGGCUUACCAUGAGUUUUGGCUUCCCAUAGGCCCUUUGAUAAGUCACGCCAUGAACGCUCGGCAUACGUAGAGGUCGAGGCUAGGUCCCGAACCCAGCUCUUGAGGUUAGGGAUUGCAUCAGGCAUCUAAGCGACCGCUACAUCACGGAAAAAAGAUAUCAAUGAGAAGAAGCAAAAGAGCAAAACAAUUAAUAGUGUACUUACGCUUCAUAUUCCAUUUCUCGGGAAAUGGCAUCUUCUCGGCCGGGAUUAGGUCGGAAGUCCUCACUCGAACGAACCGGCCCAUCCAGCCUCGAUCCUUGUCCUCGGCUAUGCUCGAGAACAACACUUUGGUAGCCUGGUGUUGGAGUUUUAUUAACCCGCCUCGAUAGAAGCGGGAACUGUAUAACUUGAUGAGGUGGUCGAGGGUGAAAGGCAUCCCCUCGAUGGAUUUGGCCUAGGGUUAUUUGAUACUGACGGCAAAAAUCAACGACGGAGGAGUCGAGGGGGCCCAGCGUAAAAGGGUAAGUGUAAACACUUAGAAACUCUUCCACAUGGGUAGUGAUGUCCUCUUCGGGGGUCGGGAUCACCACCUCUUUGCCCUCCCAGUUGCAAUCUUUCUUUACCUACUUAAGGUAUCCCUCAGUUAUCGAGCAUAUAUACAUCGACACUAGCUCGCAUCAACCGGGAACUGACGAGGCUUUAUCGGUCUUAAAAUCGAAAGUGAGGACACAACCCCCGGGAACACAUUCCUCGGGGCGCGGCUCCGUCGGUGUCUUGUCGCCGGCAGACCGCGAUGAAGAAGCGUUUUCCUUUUGAGGAACAGUUUUUGACUUACCAUUUUUGUAUGGAUUCGAAGUUAAAAAUAGAUGGAGAUGAUAAGAUUUGGUGUUUUGAGAAGAGGUUAGCAGUGAAAAUCGUAGAUUUGCAGAUGAAGAAAUUAGAAGAUAUAAAAAGUUUUGGAGAUUGAAAAUCUGAAAGUAAAAGUUCAAAAUGGUGGAGAGGGGCUAUUUAUAAAUUUCACAACGACGAUUCAAUAUUGGCGGUGGCCGACCAUCGACUGACGUGCAUUUAAUGCCUUGGUAAUUGUACAGACGGGACGUUUCAGUCACUUCCGUCGCUUACGUCACAAGGAUAACAUCAUGACAAGUCGAGAUAGAAAAUCGAAGGCUCAAUUCGUUUCUUGUCAUUAUACUCCAAAAAUACGAGGGGACUAUCUGUAUACGGUUAAAAUCGGGCCCAUCCGAUUUUACUAUUUGACCGAGACCGGGAGUUUGCAUCGGAGGAUGGCCUCGUAACGGAAUAGGCCAUAUCACGAGGACAAGGUACCGAGUUCAGAACCGAGGUACCUGUCAAGAUCGAAGCUAGUAGCGAUAGAAGCCAAACAAAACAGACAUCGAGCAAGAUCGAAGAUAGCACAAUAACAGAAAUGCGAGAUAUUCGUGACUGGUCGAGGAUCACGGCGUAAAUCUCGGUGACUGGUCAAGGAUCAUAGCGUAAAUCUCGGAACGGAUCAAAUCAGAAACGGUUAAUUAGCUAAUCAUGGGAUUUUCUUCUGUAAUUAGAGUUAUACCAUAAGUGGAACUCCUCUACUAUAUAAAGGGGAGUAUUUACUAUUUGUAAGACAUGGUUCUCACGUUAAAAAGCCAAUAACGCUCUCUCUUUAGCUUAUACUUUCUUGUUCAUCAGCUUGCUUUUAUUUUUAACUAUUUUGGUAUCAAUCAGUUCGAGGACACCCUAGCUCGAGGGUUGAAUUCCGUUUCAAUACUGGUUCGCUUUAUUUUAUAGUUCAUUUCUGUUAUUAAUCUUCAUAUUUGUCUAUCGGUGUUAAGUGAAAUCGCGUAUCAUUAGAACUUCAUUAUAAGUUUAAUUGUUAUCAAAUUUUAAGGGUAAAUUGAUUUAUUUAUUGUUCUGCCUCUUCAGUAUUUGCUUUCUUAUUUAUUGUUCCAUAUGCUGAGGCUAUAUGAUAGUGGAUUAUUUUAAAGAUACUGACUUCUUAUAAAAAGAAGAAGGUUGUUUUCAAAUUCAGAAAAGGGUCAUGAAGUUAGUAACUAAUUUAACGUCGUAUAAGUUUAAAAUUUUGAAAUAUGUUUGUUGUUGACAGAAACUCACUGUCUGAAUUAGUAAGUACUCCUAAUUGAGAAAAGAAUGCUAAGAGCCCCCUCUAAAAACUUUAUGAUCCAAACACUUCCCUUUUAAAAAUAUGACAGGAUAUGUCCUUUUUGAAGAUUUUAUUACCUGCUCUCUCCCUUCUGAUGCUGACUCCACCGAAGGCCAUUCCCCCUUUUUUCUUUGUUUUUAUUUUUUACUUUCUUGUUUUUAUCCUUUUCACUUUCUUUUAUUUUUUCCCAUAAACUAGUAAUAGUCCCUCACUUUUUUACUUUAUUUUUUUCUAGUUUUAAUUUUUUUAAUUAUAUUUUACAGUAUUUCUUUAUUUUCUUAAUUUUGUUCUAUCUAGUAAAAUUAUCCAAAAUAUUUCUUCUCUUUUUCACUUUCUUUUUAUUAUUAUUAUUAUUAUUAUUAUUAUUAUUAUUAUUAUUAUUAUUAUUAUUAUUAUUAUUAUUAUUAUUAUUAUUUUAUUGUUUUCAGUAAAAUGCAUCUGUACAAACUUUUGCACUCUCUUUCACUUGUUUCUUUGUUCUUUCUACUUAAGUGAGUGAAUCCUAAAAUUUAUAUUGGUCAUUUUCUACACAAUUAUUUAUCCAUCAUGAUUAUUGAGAGUUACCUUCUCACCUUUUUAAUGUGUUUUUCGUACUUUUUAUUUUAUUUUAUAUUAUAGAUGGUUUUAUUUUAUAAUUUCCAAAGAAAUUUUAGGGUUUUUUAAAUAAAAGAUUAUCUCAAAUAUUUUAUAUAUAUCAUUAGAUAGUAAUUGUCACACCUCCUUUUUCCCGAGGGAUAUGGGAGUUUUUCCAAUUAAAGUGACAUUAUUCGAAAUGGGAUUAUUUAUUUAAUUAGAGUCGCCACUUGGAAUAAUUAUUAUGGUGUCCCAAGUCACCAGUUUAUUUUAAAAUCCCAAAUCGAGAAAAUUUGACUCUAUUUGUGGUCUACGAACACAGAAGAUCGGGUAAAGAAUUUUGUUAACCAGGAAAAAGGUGUGAGGCACUCCCGAGUUCCGUGGUUUUAGCACGGUCGCUUAACAAUUAAUACCUGGCUUAAAUAUCUGAAUUAUUACAUGUUUUAGAACCUUUUUGUAUUGCCGCUUUUAUACCGUUUUUAAUUAUUUUAAAACAAUUAUGAAAUUAAUUUAAACAAGUCGCAGUGUCGCGCACUUGUUAUUUUUGUACACACCGCAAAUCACGCCACAUGAAAUGUACCCGUGAUUCACAACAUGUUUAUUUUUAAUUAUUCGAAGUUGAUUGGUCAAGUCGCUUGAACGCACACUUGAAUUUUGGAUUUAGGUAUCAUAGUUAUGCCACGGGAGCCGUACCCAUAACCAUGAUAAUUAAAUUAUUUAGGUGCCUAAAAGCAACUAACGUGUUUAUAAUUCAUUUUUCAAAAAAACUAAUUUGAGAUUAUUGUAAGGCCAUAGAUAUGAAAUUAUUUGUGGAAAAGAUGAAGUAAAUUAGUUAUAGAAAGGUGGGCUAUCUUGUAGCCUUAUUGACAUUUGCGCCAGCUUCAAUUGUAUCACUCUUGGGCCGGGCAGAAUUCUUUUUGGCCCAAAUCCUUUUCUGACUUAAACCAACACACAACCCGCUUUAAUAUUUCUACACUACGUUAACAUGGCCCAAUAUGAUUAUUACCCAACCUACAAGAAUUCGAUGAACAGUCCAUAAAUUAAAUGGAACAAAUAAUUCCCUAUAUUAAUCUUAUCAGCUACAACCAAUUUAAGAUAUCAAAUUAACGAAAAGGCAAGGAAACAAAUACAAUCAUUAGCUCAUCACAUUAAAAUAAGCAUGCUUACAAUAAUUAGCAAAGAAAACAAAAGACAAGGCAGAUGAACAUAUAGAAAUGGGCAGAGGAGUAAAAAUGGACCUUGAAUGAAUAAUGAAACUUUAAUUUCUGAGUGGCUUUCGUUGGACAAGGAACAUCGAACCGGAGUGAAUCGAAUGGCGACCUCGAUGGUGAUCUCGAACUCAACUUUGGAGUUGCUGUUUUCGUGCGAAAAGGAGGCUGUUUUUCUGCGUUUUCGGCUGAUUUUGGAGGUUGUUCGACAGCUUUUAACUGUGGUUUUGAGCUGAAGAAAAUGGUGUCAUUUCAGCAGGUUUUAGGAUUGAUUUAAGGGGCUGUUUCAGGUCAGUUUUCAUGGGAGAUGGUGGCUUGUUUUAAAUUGGAUUUUCAGCUCGUUUUUGGAGCUGUUUUGAGGUCGUUUUGGGGGGUGUUUUAUGGGUAUUUUUGGGGCUGGAAUUUGAGGAUUUUUGGGGUUGGAUUUCAGGAUGUUUUUAGGGAAUUUUGGGCUGUUAUUGAGCUGCUUUUGGGGAGUAAUUUCAGCUGCGUUUUGGGGUUGGAUUUCAGGAUAUUUUUAGGGAAUUUCGGGCUGUUAUUGAGCUGCUUUUGGGGAGUAAUUUCAGCUGCGUUUUGGCUGAUUUCUGGUACGUUUUGGGGAUGUUUUGAAGCUGGUUUUCAGGAUAGUUUUGGAUUGGUUUUAGCUGAAAUUUCAGCAGUAUUUUGGGUAAUUUUUGGUGAAAGCUUGGUAUAUUUUAAGGGAGAAAAACAAAGGUGUUCGGAUGGUGUUGAGGCUGCUGAUUAGGUGGAGGAGACGGGACUGUUUAGCAGAGCUUUUGGGGGUAAAGAUGGUGGAAAGAGGGUGAAACUUUGAUGGUUGAUUUCGUGGAGAGGGAGACUGCGCUAUUGUGCUUUCUUUUUUCGUCCCUUCUUCCUCUAAUGUGGCCUUUGUGUGUGUGAUAUAUAUAGCUAAAGGGAUGAGGGAGAGGAUGUGAGGGAAUAUU
rnacentral:lncRNA from 1 species